CAGGCUUAACACAUGCAAGUCGAGGGGCAUCAGGAAGAAAGCUUGCUUUCUUUGCUGGCGACCGGCGCACGGGUGAGUAACACGUAUCCAACCUGCCCUUUACUCGGGGAUAGCCUUUCGAAAGAAAGAUUAAUACCCGAUAGCAUAAUGAUUCCGCAUGGUUUCAUUAUUAAAGGAUUCCGGUAAAGGAUGGGGAUGCGUUCCAUUAGGUUGUUGGUGGGGUAACGGCCCACCAAGCCUUCGAUGGAUAGGGGUUCUGAGAGGAAGGUCCCCCACAUUGGAACUGAGACACGGUCCAAACUCCUACGGGAGGCAGCAGUGAGGAAUAUUGGUCAAUGGGCGCUAGCCUGAACCAGCCAAGUAGCGUGAAGGAUGAAGGCUCUAUGGGUCGUAAACUUCUUUUAUAUAAGAAUAAAGUGCAGUAUGUAUACUGUUUUGUAUGUAUUAUAUGAAUAAGGAUCGGCUAACUCCGUGCCAGCAGCCGCGGUAAUACGGAGGAUCCGAGCGUUAUCCGGAUUUAUUGGGUUUAAAGGGAGCGUAGGUGGACUGGUAAGUCAGUUGUGAAAGUUUGCGGCUCAACCGUAAAAUUGCAGUUGAUACUGUCAGUCUUGAGUACAGUAGAGGUGGGCGGAAUUCGUGGUGUAGCGGUGAAAUGCUUAGAUAUCACGAAGAACUCCGAUUGCGAAGGCAGCUCACUGGACUGCAACUGACACUGAUGCUCGAAAGUGUGGGUAUCAAACAGGAUUAGAUACCCUGGUAGUCCACACAGUAAACGAUGAAUACUCGCUGUUUGCGAUAUACAGUAAGCGGCCAAGCGAAAGCAUUAAGUAUUCCACCUGGGGAGUACGCCGGCAACGGUGAAACUCAAAGGAAUUGACGGGGGCCCGCACAAGCGGAGGAACAUGUGGUUUAAUUCGAUGAUACGCGAGGAACCUUACCCGGGCUUAAAUUGCAGUGGAAUGAUGUGGAAACAUGUCAGUGAGCAAUCACCGCUGUGAAGGUGCUGCAUGGUUGUCGUCAGCUCGUGCCGUGAGGUGUCGGCUUAAGUGCCAUAACGAGCGCAACCCUUAUCUUUAGUUACUAACAGGUCAUGCUGAGGACUCUAGAGAGACUGCCGUCGUAAGAUGUGAGGAAGGUGGGGAUGACGUCAAAUCAGCACGGCCCUUACGUCCGGGGCUACACACGUGUUACAAUGGGGGGUACAGAAGGCAGCUAGCGGGUGACCGUAUGCUAAUCCCAAAAGCCUCUCUCAGUUCGGAUCGAAGUCUGCAACCCGACUUCGUGAAGCUGGAUUCGCUAGUAAUCGCGCAUCAGCCACGGCGCGGUGAAUACGUUCCCGGGCCUUGUACACACCGCCCGUCAAGCCAUGGGAGCCGGGGGUACCUGAAGUACGUAACCGCAAGGAGCGUCCUAGGGUAAAACUGGUGACUGGGGC
rnacentral:rRNA from 1 species